rfam:Felis catus isolate Cinnamon breed Abyssinian chromosome C2, whole genome shotgun sequence.
GCCUGGGUGGCUCAGUUGGAUGAGCGUCCGACUUCGGCUCAGGUCACUAUCUCACCGUCCGUGAGUUCGAGCCCCACGUCAGGCU